GUUCUUUUCAAUUAUUUUGUCAUAAUCUGAUCUCAGAUCCCUCAAGAAAAAUGAAUACCUGCUGGCCGUGCUGUUGGGAAUAUUUGAAGCCUCAACUCAAUAGCUGGAAGCCAGAGAACAUGGAAGCCAGAGAGAAGCCUCCUAAGGCAGAGAGAAGAAUGAAGAAGUGUGGAAAAUGAAUCUAGAAUGAAAGGUGGAACAAAUGGAAGCUACCUACUACCACGAAUACACAGAAUUCCGUGAGGUGAUUACACUGCUAUUUUUGUUCAGUGUUCCUUGUGACUUGGGAAAUUCCCCCAUCAUUCCCCUCACUAUACAACGAAUGCAUGUCAAAUAAAUGACCCAAACACUCUCUGGCUGGAAGCCUCAGUAAAUCUCUGUGGAGGAAAGUCUGGAGAUCUGCUUCUCUCAUCCUUAUUGCCCUGCCAAGGACAAGGAUAUCCUGGAAGAAAGGCUGGAAAAAAACAAGGACAUUGAUACUUUGGCAUUGUGAAAAUGAUUAGACUCACUGAAUCCUGUAUAUAAUAAUGGGGUCUGUUGUUGCUAGCCUUUCGACAGAAUUGUGCCAGAAUCCAUUUCUCUUUAAAUGCCAUGGAAUGUCACUGAUACAUGAAAUGACAUCCCUGAACUUUGAGGUUGCAUAAGGAAGACCUCAGUGCAAGACCCCAGAUAUUCAUUAGCAAGUUGGAAUUGUGGUAUCUGUGCCCAUCACUCUUCAUGGAGAAAAUAUAUUCUAUAGACUUACUGGUGGAAAAACAUUGCUACAAGAGCUGUCUCAAAUCAAUACUGAAUUAAAUCUGGUUGCAAAGGAAUAAAUACUGUCACCAGCA